ACUCAAAUGAAUUGACGGGGGCCCGCACAAGCAGCGGAGCAUGUGGUUUAAUUCGACGCAACGCGAAGAACCUUACCUGGGCUUGACAUGUGAGUGACAGGUGUGGAAACACACUCUCCCUUCGGGGCACUCUCACAGGUGGUGCAUGGCUGUCGUCAGCUCGUGUCGUGAGAUGUUGGGUUAAGUCCCGCAACGAGCGCAACCCCCGUCGCAUGUUGCCAGCAUUAAGUUGGGGACUCAUGCGAGACUGCCGGUGACAAACCGGAGGAAGGUGGGGAUGACGUCAAGUCAUCAUGCCCCUUAUGUCCAGGGCUACACACGUGCUACAUUGGCGCAUACAAAGGGCUGCGAUACCGCGAGGUGGAGCGAAUCCCAAAAAGUGCGUCUCGGUUCGGAUUGGAGGCUGAAACUCGCCUCCAUGAAGGCGGAGUUGCUAGUAAUCCCGGAUCAGCAACGCCGGGGUGAAUACGUUCCCGGGCCUUGUACACACCGCCCGU
rnacentral:rRNA from 1 species